rnacentral:tRNA from 1 species
ACCUGGUUGGCUCAGUUGGUAGAGCAUGUGACUCAUGAUCUCAGGGUUGUAAGUUCAAGCCAUACAUUGGAUG